rnacentral:rRNA from 1 species
UACGAAGGGGGGCUAGCGUUGCUCGGAAUCAUUGGGCGUAAAGGGUGCGUAGGCGGCGCGGUAAGUCGGGUGUGAAAUCUCGGAGCUUAACUCCGAAACUGCAUUCGAUACUGCCGUGCUUGAGGACUGGAGAGGAGACUGGAAUUUACGGUGUAGCGGUGAAAUGCGUAGAUAUCGUAAGGAAGACCAGUGGCGAAGGCGGGUCUCUGGACAGUUUCCUGACGCUGAGAGCGAAAGCGUGGGUAGGCAAACAGG